AGUGUAUAUAUAUAUAUAUAUAUAUAUAGAGAGAGAGAGAGAGAGAGAGAGAUAGGCUGGAAUAAUAUUAAUAGUAAAACGCUCUUUUUACUGUCAUCUUUUUAACCCUUGUAUGAAAAGUUGUAGGGUUAGGAUGAAAUUAGUCAGUUAGAGUUAAGUGGUCCCCCUAGGGUUGAGUGCUCCCCACAGGGUUAUAGUAUUUAAUCCAAUGGUUAGAAAUGAUGAAAAGAGUUGAUCCAAAGGCUAAAAAACUGGUAGCAACAAUGGCAUUUUGCUACUAAUAGUAGCCCAGUCCAACUCUAUAUAUAUAUAUAUAUAUAUAUAUAUAUAUAUAUAUAUAUAUAUAUAUACUAGUGCAGGUCCUGCGCUUCACACCGGGUAAAUAAUAUUUUAAUAAAUUAAUAUAUAUAAUUUUUAAAAUUUUAAAAUUGAAAAAUUUAUAAUGAAAAAUAUAAAACAAACUUAUAUAUCCUUUAUAUAUUAUCAAAAGACAUUCGAAAUCAAAAUAGAUAUUUUUUAUACUGUAGAAAAAUUCAACUACAAAAUAAAUAAUCUAAUAUAAUAUUAUUAUAUUAUUAUAUAAAUUAAUUCUUAAAAAAAUUGUGUAGGUCCUACAACCCUCCAAAAUAAGGAGAGGCAUUUUUUAGGGUUACCAAUUCAUAUAUGUUUUGGAAACUAAAGUGAAAAGUAUACAAAAUUUAGGAUCAAAAUUGACAUGAAAAAAAAUGUUAAAUAGGCGAUGGCAUGAUAAUUUCAAUAAUUCUAAAAUAUUUUUUUAAUGGUUGUUAUUUUAUCACAAGAAUUUUUAAGAGGUUUGAAAGCUUAAUUGCAAAAAAAAAGAAAAAAAAUUAGGAAUAAAAUUAAAAAAUGGUGCAAAGUUUGGGCAGCACUAUACAAUUAAUCCUAAAAAAUUUCUAAAAAAAAUUUGUGGGCCACACACCACCAAAAUAAGGGGAGGCCUUCCUUGGGUUCCCAAUUAGAUGAAAUUUUAAUUUUGUUAUCUUGACAAUUAAAAAAUAGGAUUGAUCUAUACGAUAAAAUUUUACACUUGAUAUUGAUAAAAGAAAAAGAAAAGAUGUUGAUAUUUAGUAGAUUAAAAUUUUAUUUUAUUUUAUUGACUAUCAAAAAAUAGAAUUGAUCCAUGCGAUAAAAUUUUACAAUUGAUGUAGGCAAAAAAUAAAAAAAUGUCGAGAGAGAAAAAAAUAAAAAAGAAAGUAGGAGAGAGAGAGAGAAAAAAAAAGAAAGUAAGAGAGAGAGUGAGAGAGAGAAAAAAUAAAAAAAGAAAGUGAGAGAGAGAGAGUGAGAAAGAAAAAAAAAAUAAAAAAAGAAAGUAAGAGUGAAAGAGAGAGAGAGAGACUGAGAGAGAGAGAAAAAAAAUGAGGGCCCCACCAAAUACAUGAAUUCUUAUACAUAGAUGUACUUUCUUAAUUUUCUGCCUGUCGUAUCGCACGGUUACUAUACUAGUUUUACAUGAAUUCUUAUACUUAAAUUCUAUAUAGAUAUACUUCCUUAAUUUGAGAGAGAUGGAGCCUUAAACCAUUUCUUCUUUUCUUUAAAAAAUUAUAUUUUCUUUAUUUUUUUAAAAUGACUUUUUGCUUUCCGUUGCAUUUAUUCGCAUAUACUUUCUUUUUUUUCUUUUUAGUAGUUCUU
rnacentral:lncRNA from 1 species